UGGCGUAUAUUCGGUAAUGAAAACAGAGAACGCACUGCAUUGACAUUGCAGGGGUCACAGGUUCAAUCCCUGUCACGCCCACCA
rnacentral:tRNA from 4 species